rnacentral:RNase_P_RNA from 1 species
UAGGGUCAGAAUGUGGCUGACGGUGGAUCUUGCUGCUUGCAGUGAUAUCCGCUGAGGAAAGUCCGCCCACAACGAAUCGGCUGCUUUAGUCCUUCAUGAAAAUGAACAGGGCAUAAGUUCCGGAAACGGAAGGCAACCGCUCAGAAACGAGACCACCUGCUGAAUGCGAUGAGGUCCGCGAAACCUUUGGCAACAAAGGCAAGAUACCAAAAACCCAACGGGUUUUUGGGCUUGAAAAUCGCUUAUCUGCGAUUUUCAAUAACCGACCGAGCCUGUCAGCAGGAAUGGAUGAAACGGCGAGUCCCGGCUUGUGCAACCCUUUAAGGGGCUUAGUAGAAUGCCACAAUGGGUCAUCGCAACCAACCAUGUUGGCUGUUUGGGCCUGACAAAAGGCGGCUUAAUCUGACCCUA